AGUCCCCGAUCCUCCCCGGUAACAUUCUGGGCAGCUUUCCUCCUUGCUUCCCCAGCACCUCCUGGGCUAUUUCAGACUCGAUGCCAGCAGAGCGCCACACUGCCUCAGCCCCCGCAGUUGGCACAUGGACAAAAAUCUUUUCCUGACCCCAGAUGGCAUCGAAGCUUCCUCAGUCUGAUCCUGUCAGCAUAUUUUUUCCAAGCACCUGAUUCCUGGAUGUGGCAGCAGUAAAACCAACCGAGAUUGUUUGGCCCCCUCUGGAGCAGGUAUUUCCCAUUCCGAUGUCGUCAGCCAUCCGAGCAUGCUGCUUCCAACAGCUCCGAAAUAACAGCCUGGAACCCUGUGCGUGAUGUCCAACACAUCCACAGCAAUGCACGUAGCCAUGAUUGCAAAGCACCCACACAGAGAAAAUCUUAACCACCUCCAGAGGGAGAAAAGUUCACCUGCAAAGAAAUCAGAAAAGCAUGGACUUCUCACAGCAAGGGUGGAAGUUAAGAAGCCGCGGAGCAAUGCUUGCAAAAUUCUAAGAAACCAUGACACUCAUUCUGGAAUUUAACAUCCAUCCAGUAAUUAACGGAGUUUAAGAACUGGAUAAAGGCACUUUUAGGCAUGCAAGUUCAAAACUGUGCUUUCUAUUUACCCUUUCUUACCCUACUGAAGGGUUUACCCCAUCCAGAGAAGAAAUAAACCAAGCAAGAAGAAAACAUAUAGCCUAAGGAAA